GUGCUUGCUUCAGGAAGACAUAUACUAAAAUUGGAACGAUACAGAGAAGAUUAGCAAGGCCCCUGGGCGAGGAUAACAUGCAAGUUCAUGAAGUGUUCCAUAUUUUU
rnacentral:snRNA from 1 species